GACGAACCGAGCGAACGUUGUUCGGAAUCACUGGGCUUAAAGGGCGCGUAGGCGGGCUGCCGCGUCCGGGGUGAAAUCCUCCGGCUCAACCGGGGAACGGCCUCGGGUACGGGCGGCCUCGAGGGGGGUAGGGGCGUGCGGAACUGUGGGUGGAGCGGUGAAAUGCGUAGAGAUCUGGAGGAAUACCGGUGGCGAAGGCGGCCCCCUGGACAAAGACUGACGCUCAGGUGCGAAAGCGUGGGGAGCAAACAGG
rnacentral:rRNA from 1 species